rnacentral:rRNA from 1 species
UCGAUGGAGAGUUUGAUCCUGGCUCAGGACGAACGCUGGCGGCGUGCUUAAUGCAUGCAAGUCGAACGAGAACCUCACUAUGGGUAACCAUACGAGGUAUCUAGUGGCGAACGGGUGCGUAACACGUGAGAAACCUGCCCCGGAGAUCGGGAUAGCCCAGGGAAACCUGGAUUAAUACCGAAUGUCCUCUAACCGUCGCAUGUCGGAUUGAGGAAAUGGUCCGCUGCUCCGGGAUGGUCUCGCGGCCUAUCAGCUUGUUGGUGAGGUAACGGCUCACCAAGGCGACGACGGGUAGCUGGUCUGAGAGGACGAUCAGCCACACUGGGACUGAGACACGGCCCAGACUCCUACGGGAGGCAGCAGCAGGGAAUAUUGCACAAUGGGCGAAAGCCUGAUGCAGCGACGCCGCGUGAGGGAUGAAGGCCUUCGGGUUGUAAACCUCUUUCAGGAGGGAAGAAGCGAAAGUGACGGUACCUCCAGAAGAAGACCCGGCCAACUACGUGCCAGCAGCCGCGGUAAUACGUAGGGGUCAAGCGUUGUCCGGAUUUAUUGGGCGUAAAGAGCUCGUAGGCGGCUCAGUAAGUCGGUCGUGAAAAUCCGGGGCUCAACCCCGGGACGCCGAUCGAAACUGCUGUGGCUAGGGUUCGGUAGAGGAGAGUGGAAUUCCCGGUGUAGCGGUGAAAUGCGCAGAUAUCGGGAGGAACACCAGUAGCGAAGGCGGCUCUCUGGGCCGAUACCGACGCUGAGGAGCGAAAGCUAGGGGAGCAAACAGGAUUAGAUACCCUGGUAGUCCUAGCUGUAAACGUUGGGCACUAGGUGUGGCGGACUCAUUGACGUCU